rnacentral:rRNA from 1 species
GAUGAACGCUGGCGGCGUGCCUAAUACAUGCAAGUCGAGCGAAUGGAUUAAGAGCUUGCUCUUAUGAAGUUAGCGGCGGACGGGCGAGUAACACGUGGGUAACCUGCCCAUAAGACUGGGAUAACUCCGGGAAACCGGGGCUAAUACCGGAUAACAUUUUGAACCGCAUGGCUCGAAAUGGAAAGGCGGCUUCCGCUGUCACUUAUGGAUGGACCCGCGUCGCAUUAGCUAGUGGGUGAGGUAACGGCUCACCAAGGCAACGAUGCGUAGCCGACCUGAGAGGGUGAUCGGCCACACUGGGACUGAGACACGGCCCAGACUCCUACGGGAGGCAGCAGUAGGGAAUCUUCCGCAAUGGACGAAAGUCUGACGGAGCAACGCCGCGUGAGUGAUGAAGGCUUUCGGGUCGUAAAACUCUGUUGUUAGGGAAGAACAAGUGCUAGUUGAAUAAGCUGACACCUUGACGGUACCUAACCAGAAAGCCACGGCUAACUACGUGCCAGCCGCCGCGGUAA